GUGGUGGCUCAGUGGUAGAGCACUUACCUUACUUUGCACAUAUGAGGCACUGAGUUCAAUCCUCAGCACCACA
rnacentral:tRNA from 1 species